GAUGAACGCUGGCGGUAUGCUUAACACAUGCAAGUCGAACGGACUCUUCGGAGUUAGUGGCGGACGGGUGUGUAACGCGUGAGAAUCUGGCUUUGGGUUCGGGACAACCAUUGGAAACGGUGGCUAAUACCGGAUGUGCCGAGAGGCAAAAGAGAAAUUGCCUGAAGAUGAGUUCGCGUUUGAUUAGCUAGUUGGUGAGGUAAAGGCUCACCAAGGCAGCGAUCAGUAGCUGGUCUGAGAGGAUGACCGGCCACACUGGGACUGGGACACGGCCCAGACUCCUACGGGAGGCAGAGGUGGGGAAUUAUCCGCAAUGGGCGAAAGCCUGACGAAGCAAUACCGCGUGAGGGAAGAAGGCACUUGGGUUGAAAACCUCUUUACUUAGGGAAGAACAAAAUGACGGUACCUAAGGAAUCAGCAUCGGCUAACUCCGUG
rnacentral:rRNA from 1 species